rnacentral:rRNA from 1 species
AUUGAACGCUGGCGGCAGGCCUAACACAUGCAAGUCGAGCGGAUGAAGGGAGCUUGCUCCUGGAUUCAGCGGCGGACGGGUGAGUAAUGCCUAGGAAUCUGCCUGGUUGUGGGGGAUAACGUCCGGAAACGGGCGCUAAUACCGCAUACGUCCUGAGGGAGAAAGUGGGGGAUCUUCGGACCUCACGCUAUCAGAUGAGCGUAGGUCGGAUUAGCUAGUUGGUGGGGUAAAGGCCUACCAAGGCGACGAUCCGUAACUGGUCUGAGAGGAUGAUCAGUCACACUGGAACUGAGACACGGUCCAGACUCCUACGGGAGGCAGCAGUGGGGAAUAUUGGACAAUGGGCGAAAGCCUGAUCCAGCCAUGCCGCGUGUGUGAAGAAGGUCUUCGGAUUGUAAAGCACUUUAAGUUGGGAAGAAGGGCAGUAAGUUAAUACCUUGCUGUUUUGACGUUACCAACAGAAUAAGCACCGGCUAACUUCGUG